rnacentral:tRNA from 7 species
GGGUGCGUAGCUCAGCGGGAGAGCGCUUCCUUCACACGGAAGAGGUCACAGGUUCGAUCCCUGUCGCACCCACCA